rnacentral:lncRNA from 1 species
CAGGAAAUCUUCCUAAAUGAGCAGCUCCAACAACUGCUGGAUGCAGUCUCUGAAGCACUUGGGACACAACCAGUCCUUGGAGUGGAUGGGUAGGGUCCAUUUCCUACGACACGACGUGGGAGCGGAACGGAGGAGGAGGAAGCUAGUGAAUUUGUCAUUCUUACCAUCUCUUGCUGUGUAAAUAUUUUGACCUGAUCAGUAAUGGCAAGGGAAGCAUGCAGAACCACAGGAAAUAGCUUACGUAAAGGAACUUUUUCAGCUCUGCCCUCCAUCCAAGUGAUUAGACUCUGAAAAGCCAUGAACACCAGGAAGGUUCAAGUCCAUCCAUCAACGCACCCGGCAUUACAUUUCAGUAUUUUUUAAAUUAAUCUUAUUAAUCUGUACAGGAUUUGUGAUGACAGACAAUAGAGCAGACAACAAAUUCCAACAGUCAAUACCAAGCAAAUUUUGUUUGGUAUUCUGUAUGGUAGCCAUAAGCAUUUCUUUUAGAUAAAUAACGCUAACAAGAGGCAAAGGUGAUUUUUUAAAAGAAGUAAAAUUGUUCUAGGAGUUGCU